rnacentral:tRNA from 1 species
GGUAUCUGAAGUCGAAGCGGCCGAGACGCUAGCCUGUGAAGCUAGUUAUUAGCGGGUUCGAGACCCGUCGGACACCU